UGGUGGAGUGAUUUGUCUGGUUAAUUCCGUUAACGAACGAGACCUCGACCUGCUAAAUAGUUUGGCGAAUUCUCCGGGAUUGUGCACAACUUCUUAGAGGGACUAUCGGUGUGUAGCCGAUGGAAGUUCGAGGCAAUAACA
rnacentral:rRNA from 1 species